GGGUAGCGAACGGAUAGAUACCCCGGUUGUCCNCGCUGUAANCGNGGAUACUAGUGUUGNGGCAAUCGUUAUCAGUGCCGUAGCUAACGCUUAAAGUAUCCCGCCUGGGGACUACGGCCGCAAGGCUAAAACUCAAGGGAAUUGACGGGGGCCCGCACAAGCAGCGGAGCGUGUGGUUUAAUUCGAGGCAACACGAAGAACCUUACCUGGGUUUGACAUGUACGUAGUAGUGAAGCGAAAGCGGAUCGAUCCUUCGGGAAGCGUACACAGGUGCUGCAUGGCUGUCGUCAGCUCGUGCCGUGAGGUGUUCGGUUAAGUCCGGUAACGAGCGCAACCCUUGCCGUUAGUUACAAGUGUCUAGCGGGACUGCCGGUUUAAUGCCGGAGGAAGGUGGGGAUGACGUCAAGUCAGCAUGGCCUUUAUGUCCAGGGCUACACACACGCUACAAUGGCCGGUACAAUGGGUUGCCAAGCCGCGAGGCGGAGCUAAUCCCCCAAAGCCGGUCUCAGUUCGGAUUGUAGGCUGCAACUCGCCUGCAUGAAGUCGGAGUUGCUAGUAACCGCGCGUCAGCCACAGUGCGGUGAAUGCGUUCCCGGGCCUUGUACACACCGCCCGUCACGUCCAUGGGAGCUGGUAACACCUGAAGCCGGUGGGCUAACCGUAAGGGGGCAGCUGUCGAAGGUGGGACUGGUGACUGGGACGAAGUCGUAACAAGGUAACCGUA
rnacentral:rRNA from 1 species